rnacentral:rRNA from 1 species
UACGUAGGGCGCGAGCGUUGUCCGGAAUUAUUGGGCGUAAAGAGCUCGUAGGCGGUCUGUCGCGUCGGCUGUGAAAACUCGGGGCUCAACCCCGAGCCUGCAGUCGAUACGGGCAGACUAGAGUGCGGUAGGGGAGACUGGAAUUCCUGGUGUAGCGGUGAAAUGCGCAGAUAUCAGGAGGAACACCAAUGGCGAAGGCAGCUCGCUGGGACGUGACUGACGCUGAGACGCGAAAGCGUGGGGAGCAAACAGG